rnacentral:rRNA from 1 species
CAAUAGCGUAUAUUAAAGUUGUUGCAGUUAAAAAGCUCGUAGUUGGAUUUCUGGUCGGAAGCUCCUGUCCUCUGAUGAGCGUACAAGUGCGUCCUACCAUCCUUCUGUUAACCUUUAAGGCUUUCGCGGCUUUCUAGGGGCUCAGAUAUUUUACCUUGAGAAAAUUAGAGUGUUUCAGGCAGGCUAGCGCCGGAAUACAUUAGCAUGGAAUAAUGGAAUAGGACUUUUGCCUCUUCUGUUGGUCAUGAGGCUCGAGUAAUGAUUAAUAGGGAUAGUUGGGGGUAUUAGUACUUAACUGUCAGAGGUGAAAUUCUCGGAUUUGUUAAAGACUAACUUAUGCGAAAGCAUUUGCCAAGGAUGUUUUCAUUAA